AUUGAACGCUGGCGGCAGGCCUAACACAUGCAAGUCGAGCGGAUGAGUGGAGCUUGCUCCAUGAUUCAGCGGAGGACGGGUGAGUAAUGCCUAGGAAUCUGCCUGGUAGUGGGGGACAACGUUUCGAAAGGAACGCUAAUACCGCAUACGUCCUACGGGAGAAAGUGGGGGAUCUUCGGACCUCACGCUAUCAGAUGAGCCUAGGUCGGAUUAGCUAGUUGGUGAGGUAAAGGCUCACCAAGGCGACGAUCCGUAACUGGUCUGAGAGGAUGAUCAGUCACACUGGAACUGAGACACGGUCCAGACUCCUACGGGAGGCAGCGGUGGGGAAUAUUGGACAAUGGGCGAAAGCCUGAUCCAGCCAUGCCGCGUGUGUGAAGAAGGUCUUCGGAUUGUAAAGCACUCUAAGUUGGGAGGAAGGGCAGUAAGUUAAUACCUUGCUGUUUUGACGUUACCAACAGAAUAAGCACCGGCUAACUUCGUGCCAGCCGCCGCCGUAACAC
rnacentral:rRNA from 1 species